GACGAACGCUGGCGGCGUGCUUAACACAUGCAAGUCGAACGAUGAAGCCGGAGCUUGCUCUGGUGAAUUAGUGGCGAACGGGUGAGUAACACGUGAGUAACCUGCCCUUGACUCUGGGAUAACUGCUAGAAAUGGUAGCUAAUACCGGAUACGACCCUCGGAGGCAUCUUCAGGGGGUGGAAAGAAUUUCGGUCAAGGAUGGACUCGCGGCCUAUCAGCUAGUUGGUGAGGUAACGGCUCACCAAGGCGACGACGGGUAGCCGGCCUGAGAGGGUGACCGGCCAGACUGGGACUGGGACACGGCCCAGAGUCCUACGGGAGGCAGCAGUGGGGAAUAUUGCUCAAUGGGGGCAAGCCUGAUGCAGCAACGCCGCGUGAGGGAUGCCGGCCUUCGGGUUGUAAACCUCUUUUAGUAGGGAAGAAGCGAAAGUGACGGUACCUGCAGAAAAAGCACCGGCUAACUACGUGCCAGCCGCCGCCGUAA
rnacentral:rRNA from 1 species